rnacentral:rRNA from 1 species
GACGAACGCUGGCGGCGUGCUUAACACAUGCAAGUCGAACGGAAAGGCCCUGCUUUUGUGGGGUGCUCGAGUGGCGAACGGGUGAGUAACACGUGAGUAACCUGCCCUUGACUUUGGGAUAACUUCAGGAAACUGGGGCUAAUACCGGAUAGGAGCUCCUGCUGCAUGGUGGGGGUUGGAAAGUUUCGGCGGUUGGGGAUGGACUCGCGGCUUAUCAGCUUGUUGGUGGGGUAGUGGCUUACCAAGGCUUUGACGGGUAGCAGGCCUGAGAGGGUGACCGGCCACAUUGGGACUGAGAUACGGCCCAGACUCCUACGGGAGGAAGCAGUGGGGAAUAUGGCACAAUGGGCGGAAGCCUGAUGCAGCAACGCCGCGUGCGGGAUGACGGCCUUCGGGUUGUAAACCGCUUUCGCCUGUGACGAAGCGUGAGUGACGGUAAUGGGUAAAGAAGCACCGGCUAACUACGUG